UGCGCCUGGGGCGGACCCGGCACGGACCAUUUUUAGAGCUUCCCAGGCAGCGGGUUCGUGUACGGUCUUGUACAUCCAAGAAUUUUCUUGGAUUUAAUGAUUUCU
rnacentral:sRNA from 1 species